GAUGAACGCUGGCGGCGUGCCUAAUACAUGCAAGUCGAGCGAACGGACGAGAAGCUUGCUUUUCUGAUGUUAGCGGCGGACGGGUGAGUAACACGUGGAUAACCUACCUAUAAGACUGGUAUAACUUCGGGAAACCGGAGCUAAUACCGGAUAAUAUUUUGAACCGCAUGGUUCAAACGUGAAAGACGGUCUUGCUGUCACUUCUCGCUGGAUCCGCGCUGCAUUAGCUAGUUGGUAAGGUAACGGCUUACCAAGGCAACGAUGCAUAGCCGACCUGAGAGGGUGAUCGGCCACCCUGGAACGGAGACACGGUCCAGACGCCUACGGGAGGCAGCAGUAGGGAAUCUUCCGCAAUGGGCGAAAGCCUGACGGAGCAACGCCGCGUGAGUGAUGAAGGUCUUCGGAUCGUAAAACUCUGUUAUUAGGGAAGAACAUAUGUGUAAGUAACUGUGCACAUCUUGACGGUACCUAAUCAGAAAGCCACGGCUAACUACGUG
rnacentral:rRNA from 1 species